rnacentral:rRNA from 1 species
UACGUAGGGCGCAAGCGUUAUCCGGAAUUAUUGGGCGUAAAGAGCUCGUAGGCGGUUUGUCGCGUCUGCCGUGAAAGUCCGGGGCUCAACUCCGGAUCUGCGGUGGGUACGGGCAGACUAGAGUGAUGUAGGGGAGACUGGAAUUCCUGGUGUAGUGGUGAAAUGCGUAGAUAUCGGGAGGAACACCAGUGGCGAAGGCGACUACCUGGCCCACUCUUGACGCUGAGGCGCGAAAGCUAGGGGAGCAAACGGG